rfam:Solanum lycopersicum cultivar Heinz 1706 chromosome 2, whole genome shotgun sequence.
AAGCCAUGAGUUGGGCAUUGAAGCACCAACUUCUUGAAUCGUAGCCAAGUUUCAUGAAUGGUCUCAUCAUCCUCAUGUUUGAAUCUCUUAAUUUUAUCCUGAAGAUU